CCUACGGGCGGCUGCAGUGGGGAAUAUUGCACAAUGGGCGCAAGCCUGAUGCAGCCAUGCCGCGUGUGUGAAGAAGGCCUUCGGGUUGUAAAGCACUUUCAGCGGGGAGGAAGGCGGUGAGGUUAAUAACCUCAUCGAUUGACGUUACCCGCAGAAGAAGCACCGGCUAACUCCGUGCCAGCAGCCGCGGUAAUACGGAGGGUGCAAGCGUUAAUCGGAAUUACUGGGCGUAAAGCGCACGCAGGCGGUCUGUCAAGUCGGAUGUGAAAUCCCCGGGCUCAACCUGGGAACUGCAUUCGAAACUGGCAGGCUAGAGUCUUGUAGAGGGGGGUAGAAUUCCAGGUGUAGCGGUGAAAUGCGUAGAGAUCUGGAGGAAUACCGGUGGCGAAGGCGGCCCCCUGGACAAAGACAGACGCUCAGGUGCGAAAGCGUGGGGAGCAAACAGGAUUAGAUACCCCAGUAGUC
rnacentral:rRNA from 1 species